UUUUAGCCACCCGUUCAGAGCCAUGGACGGCAAUCUAUCUGUGGCUGAUUUUGUGUUACACUCCAGCAGCACUGAGAGCGGGCUCACCCCUAAACGACUUUGAGCUCUGCCAGCCUCUAUGAUAAAGAGACAAGAAAGUCCCAGGAGACUCUGACUGCUGCCAUCUACCCACCCCCUAAAACCUUUUCAUGUACCCGCAGUUCUGGACUAUAAGCCCGUCCACAGCGUUUCUUCCUUCCUUCAUGGCUCCAAGCAACGUUUUUUUGCAACCUUGUCAGCUGAUAUGAAAGCUGCUAGCUGAUUGGAGAGCUGACUAAAAGCGGGGUAAUGAUGAUCACUUCUGUUUUGUUUGAUCCGCCGUUUUACUGCCCUGUUACAGACAACGUUUGGAAACAAUUAAGAUAUGAAAGCUGCUUGCUGAUUGGAGAGCUGGCUAGCGGGUCCAUGACCAUGAUUUCUGUUUUGUUUGAUCAGCCGUUUUACUACCUUGUUGCAGACACUAAUUGGAAACAGUUAAGUUUGCAACCUUGUCAACUGAUAUGAAAGCUGCUAGCUGAUUGGAGAGCUGGCUAAAAGCGGGUCAAUGACGAUCACUUCUGUUUUGUUUGAUCCGCCGUUUUACUGCCCUGUUACAGACACCAACUGGAAACAAUUAAGUUUUUAACCUUGUCAACUGUUAUGAAAGCUACUAGCUGACUGGAGAGCUAGGUUGCGCAGCUGGCGGGUCCAUGACCACGACUUAUGUUUUGUUUGAUCCGCCGUUUUACUGCCUUGUUACAGACGUUUG